UGCUCAGGACCCACGGGGCAGUCUAGAGGGCCCUCCGGAGACAACGGGUUGGAGGUCGCACGGGCUCACAGGGGCUCUUGUUCAAACGAAAAGAGCGAGAACUAGGGCUCGGGGCCGGUUUGGAGGAGCCUCAGAGGUCCUUUUCGUCCCUAAACGUGCCUUCGGCAGGGUCUGCCCGCGAGCGCCCCCAAGCGGCAGGUCUCAGAGUCCAGGUCGUUGGUGUGAUGCCUUUUCUAACCCUUCUAUCAAGAAUCAGCCAGAGCCACCAAUUUAGAGCACAGAUAUGAUUGUGCCACUCCGUGUUUACAUUCCUCUAAUGGCACCUGUUAACCUCAGGAUGAAAUUUAGACGCUUUAGCAUGGUUUCUGAGGUCCUUUGUCAUCGGACUUUGCGCAUAUAUCCAGCUGCCCACUGCUUCCUCCCGGCUUCAGCCAUCCCGAGUGAUCUCCAUGGGCUCUUCCACUCCGGUCAUACAUAUUCAUCACCACCCACUUAUUCCUUUACGGGAGAAGCCUAUGUCCCUGCCUCAUUGGCCCUGGGCUUGGCCACAUGACAGGAUCGACUAAUAAAUGCGAGUGGAUGAACAGAA